rnacentral:misc_RNA from 1 species
UCCGGUUUGUCACCGGCAGUCUCAUUAGAGUGCCCAACUAAAUGUAGCAACUAAUGACAAGGGUUGCGCUCGUUGCGGGACUUAACCCAACAUCUCACGACACGAGCUGACGACAGCCAUGCAGCACCUGUGUCCAGGUUCCCUUUCGGGCACCCCUCCAUCUCUGGAGGGUUCCUGGCAUGUCAAGGGUAGGUAAGGUUUUUCGCGUUGCAUCGAAUUAAUCCACAUAAUCCACCGCUUGUGCGGGUCCCCGUCAAUUCCUUUGAGUUUUAACCUUGCGGCCGUACUCCCCAGGCGGUCAACUUCACGCGUUAGCUUCGUUACUAAGGGAGUUAAUCCCCCAACAACCAGUUGACAUCGUUUAGGGCGUGGACUAC